rfam:Corchorus capsularis cultivar CVL-1 contig04294, whole genome shotgun sequence.
GGUCGGAUAGCUCAGUUGGUAGAGCAGAGGACUGAAAAUCCUCGUGUC